ensembl:misc_RNA Metazoa_SRP Metazoan signal recognition particle RNA
GCCAGGUGCAGUGGCAUGUGCCUAUAGUCCCAGCUAUUCAGGAGGCUGAGGCUGGAGGAUUGCUUGAAUCCAGGAGUUAUGGGCUAUAGUGCGCUAUGCCAAUCGGGUGUCUGCACUAAGUUCGGCAUCAAUAUGGUGACCUCCCGGGAGCAGGGGACCACCAGGUUGCCCAAGGAGUGGUGAACCGGCCAGGUUGGAAACAGAGCAGGUCAAAACUCCCGUGCUGAUCAGUAGUGGGAUCACGCCCUUGAAUAGCCACUGCACUCUAGCCUGGGCAACAUAGCAAGACCCUGUCUCUG